AUUGAACGCUGGCGGAAUGCUUUACACAUGCAAGUCGAACGGCAGCACGGGGGCAACCCUGGUGGCGAGUGGCGAACGGGUGAGUAAUACAUCGGAACGUGCCCAGUCGUGGGGGAUAACUACGCGAAAGCGUAGCUAAUACCGCAUACGAACUCAGGUUGAAAGCGGGGGAUCGCAAGACCUCGCGCGAUUGGAGCGGCCGAUGGCAGAUUAGGUAGUUGGUGGGGUAAAGGCUCACCAAGCCGACGAUCUGUAGCUGGUCUGAGAGGACGACCAGCCACACUGGGACUGAGACACGGCCCAGACUCCUACGGGAGGCAGCGGUGGGGAAUUUUGGACAAUGGGCGCAAGCCUGAUCCAGCCAUUCCGCGUGCAGGAUGAAGGCCCUCGGGUUGUAAACUGCUUUUGUACGGAACGAAACGCGCCGGGUUAAUACCCUGGCGUAAUGACGGUACCGUAAGAAUAAGCACCGGCUAACUACGUGCCAGCCGCCGCCGUAAAAC
rnacentral:rRNA from 1 species